rnacentral:rRNA from 1 species
AUGCCGAUCGCGCUGGCCGCGUUAAUUUCGGUCCUCCUCCUCCUCACUCGGGACGCCGCCUGCGCCGACGAGUUCGUGUACGCCGGCUUCGCCGUAGGCAGCGUGGCGACCACCGGCGCGGCCGCCGUGCUCGCUCCCUCCGGCCUCCUGCGGCUCACCAACGACACCAAGGAGGCGUUCGGCCACGGCUUCCACCCGGCGCCCCUCCGUUUCCGGGACGUCGCCACCGGCGCGCCCAUCUCCUUCUCCACCUCCUUCGUGGUCGCCAUCGCGCCGCGGUACCCGGACGCGCACGGCCACGGCAUCGCCUUCGCGCUCGCGCCGUCGAUUGCUGUCCCUGGCGCCGUCGCCGGCAAGUACCUCGGCCUGUUCAACACGUCGGACAGCCUGGGCAACGGCACGAGCCUGAUCGUCGCCGUCGAGCUGGAUACCGCCAUGGACGCGGAGUUCGACGACGCCGACGAAAACCACGUCGGCAUCGACGUCAACGGCCUCCGCUCUGUUAACUCGACCCCGGCCGGGUACUGGCAAGACGACGGCUUCGGUGGAACGAAGUUCGACAACAUCAGCCUGACUGGCGGUGGCGACGCGCCUCUGCAGGUGUGGAUCGAGUACGACGGCGCCAGCGCGCGCCUCGAGGUGACGGUGUCCCCGGCGGGCGCGCCCAGACCGGCCGUUCCGCUCGUGUCAUGCCACGUCAACCUCUCCAGGGCCGUGGCCGACGACACCUAUGUCGGCUUCUCGGCGGCCAACGGCGCCGCUGCGAGCUCGCACUACGUCCUCGGCUGGAGCUUUCGCCUCGGCGGCGGCCGCGCGCAGGACCUCGACCUCUCCAAGCUCCCGCGGCUCCCGUCGUCGGGAUCAUCAUCAUCAAAGAGAACGAUGCCGCCGCUGCUACUGCCGAUGACGCUGCUCGUCCUGGUGGUCGUGAUCCUGCUCCUGGCCUCCGCGGCCGUCGCGGCACUCGUGGUGCGGCGGCGCCGGCAGUUCGCCGAGGAGGAAGAAGACUGGGAAGUAGAGUACGGCCCUCAUAGGAUCAGAUACAAGGACCUGCAUGGCGCCACAAAUGGUUUCCGCGACCUCAUCGGCGCCGGAGGCUUCGGCCGCGUGUACCACGGCGUGCUCCCGAGGUCCGGCGCCGAGGUUGCCGUCAAGGUGAUCUCGCACGGGUCGCGGCAGGGGCUGCAGGAGUUCGUGUCGGAGAUCGUGAGCAUGAGCCGGCUGCGCCACCGUAACCUGGUGCAACUCCUCCACUACUGCCGGCGGCGCGGGGAGCUGUUGCUCGUCUACGACUACAUGCCGAACGGCAGCCUGGACCAACACCUGUUCGGCCAUCCAUCGUCGGAGCUGAGCUGGGAGCACCGGGCCAAGAUCGUCCGGGGCGUCGCGGCCGGGCUGCUGUACCUGCACGAGGGGUGGGAGCAGGUGGUGGUACACCGGGACAUCAAGUCCGGCAACGUGCUCCUCGACGCCGACAUGAACGGCAAGCUCAGCGACUUCGGCCUCGCGCGGCUCUACGACCACGGCGGCGACCCGCAGACGACGCGCGUGGUGGGCACGCUCGGGUACAUCGCGCCGGAGAUGAGCAAGACCGGCAAGGCCACCACGAGCUCCGACGUCUUCGCCUUCGGCGCCUUCCUGCUCGAGGUGGCGUGCGGUCGGAGGCCUGUGGUAUUCAGCAACAAUGAUUCCGAAGACUCGCCGCCGUCGCCGGGGCUCGUGGAGCUCGUCCUGGGGCACUGGAAGGCCGGGAAGAUCACGGAGGCGAGGGACCCGAGGAUGGGCAAGUGCGACGAGGACGAUCUCGAGCUGGUCCUCAAGCUCGGGCUGCUCUGCUCGCACCCGGACCCGUUACGACGGCCGGGCAUGAGGCAGGUGGUGCAGAUCCUGGAAGGCGCGGCACCGGCGCCGGAGACAUCGCCAGAGGAUCUUGGAGACAGCAUGACGCUGUUCGAGCACAGCGAGGCAUUCGACAGGUUCGUCGGAGUGUCGUUCCCGUCGACGUCAGGGUUCACCACCGCCACGAUGCGGACGUCGACGUCAAACUCCCCUGACGAGAAACGGCAGCUCCUGUUCAGCUGA